rnacentral:misc_RNA from 1 species
CCUGUCCAAAGAAUUUACUUGUGGAAAUUUGAGACACACACAAAUAUGAAGAAAGUGCUCAGGAUUCUUCAAAUUAUUCACUACCCAAGAGAAGGGUAUCUCAAGUUUUGGUUCAAUGCCUUGGAUGCGGACAAGUUUAAUUUCAGCAGCACCAGAUGUGCAGGUAGACUCCACAGAUUGACAUGAAAUUUCUCUUCCCUCUGCUGCCAUUUUAUUGCUGCUCACCUCUUCUGACAAUACUAAUUGUUCAUCUUCCCCUUCUACUCUAAAUGAUUCCUCAUCAAUCAAGGAUUUAUCCGUCAAAAAUUCAGGUAUGAGAGUUUUCAGUGCAUCAUGUAGGGUGAAACAUCUACCUGCAGCGCAAGAAAAUAAACAACAUAGAAUCCAAAAGGAAAUGAAGCCGGUCAUCUACUUUUCAAGGGAUCUCAAAAACUUUUAUGAUCAUUGUGAAUUUGUGACAAUAACUAGACAAGAUAGAUCAAUCACUCAAACAUGCAUGCCAAGUAUAAGUUUUAAUAUCUUACAUGCGACUUCCCACCAUGAGAAGUAACUCAAUCUCUGAAAUGGGAAGACUACUAUCAUGGAUAUUGAGUGAUUUUGAUGGAAAACAAUUCCUUAAAAAUUAAAAUGUUUCUGAUAAUAUACCCCAGAGAAAACAAACUCUCAAACCAUAUGACACAAAAUCCAAAAGUUGAUGGCAACUACAAGUAGAACAACUGUUAUGGGAAAGAAACCAUUCAAUAGCCCUUGAAUUGUUCAAGCUUUUUCUAUUGAGCCCCUAAUUGAAACUUUUAUUCCAUUGAGAUCUCCAAGAUUAUCAAUUUGGUGCUAUUGAGUACAAUUCACAAGUCACCACGGGCACAGCCAUAAGGAGAAUGUAAGAAACACACCCUUACUGCAAGUAGAGACAGUAAUUGGCUGCUGACUAUAUCAAAUUUAUAGUUGAAACUUAUGCAGUUGUAACCAAAAUCCAGUUCCAAAAUUAUUGAAUUUUCAUUUUCCCAUCUUACUUAUUUCAAUGUUGACAUUAGAAGUACUCUUUUAAUAAUCCAAAAAGUACUUUUAUUCCUGCUCACUACAUUAAGACUAACUUGUUUCCCACCAUUAAAUUUUUCUAAAUGCACUUAAUAACACCAUAUCAAGAGGCUGGAGGGCUUAACAGAAUAUAAGUUUCAAAAUGGAACUCAAUAACAAAAACUCAAAAAAAAUCCCAAGUGCUUCUUAAUAAUUUUCCCCAAACAUAAAGUAUGUUCCAUGUGGAUACCAUGCAGCAUAAUAUGGACAGUCACAAAGUACAACUAAAACUAAUUCUAAUGAAACUAAAAUAAAGUUAUCCCUUUCCAUUAUAUAAUGAUGCAAUAUACAAACAGAAUUUAAAGUAGUCAAUGGAGAUGAUGACACUCACAAACUCCUAAGAGGUAUAGCUUACCUUCUUCUCUGUAUAUCUCAAUAGGCCGAUUUAUAUAAGAAAUUUUGUCCCAACUAUCAAUUUUAGGCAUAUCUUCUAAAUCUUCAAAAUCCUCACUAACAGACCAGAUGUACAACCGAACUGGAAUUUUACCUGUCUUCAUUUGCCCACCCAUAUCGGCCUCACCAGUGGUCUUUCGAGAUUUUUGUGAGCGCAAAUCCAUUUUCAUUGUAUACUCAUCCUCAAUUAUUCCAAAUUUAAGCUUAGAUGAUGCACGUAAGUAUGCUUCCAAAUUACCAUUCAUCACAGAGUUCCAGAGUUCCACUUGAUCAGGUUGAGACAUGUGCAUAACAUUCUUGCAAUUUCCACUAAUUAUGUAAUCUGCCUCUUUCAAUGAAUUAAUAAAGUUCCACUUUACAGAGUCUUCACCUUCACAAGGAAUCAAUAAAUUAUUUGGAUAUCCUCUGAAAUGUACCGUCAAAUUCCAAGGCCUUUCCGGUUCAGCACACAGAAGAUCAAAGAGAACUCCUGUUGGUAUAUACCACUUGAGAGGCAAGCCCUUAUAGUCAAACCAGACGGUGUCGAUCCCAGGAGGAAGAGUAGCAGCGAAGUGAGGCUUUAUAAGAGGAAUAAGCAAAGGUAAGUACCCAAUCCGUGGAGCUAAGAAAAGGGCGGGAGGAGGAGAAGGGAGAGUCGUCACUUCGGAUUCAUGUAGAUGAAUCUGCAGAGGAAUUGCACCCUCCCAUACGUACCUUUGCACCUCCAUUAUCUUCCUUUCUACUCUAAUUGUUUACUUUCUAAGGCUACGCAUAAGUAUCCAAAUCUCAACAAAUAGGUGAAAGGAUUGGCUACAGCUUGACGCCGGAACAGUGGCCGGAGAAGAAUUGAGGCUCAGGCCAAGUGUCGGAGUCUGAGCCAAAACUGUGAAGCCUUCGGAAUGGCAGUCGCCGAACAAAUCCUAACUCUACGGCUGCUGCGCGUGCAAUUUACACAAGGACAAAUUUUC